UGACGCUGCAACAGGAUUCUU
rnacentral:misc_RNA from 1 species